rnacentral:rRNA from 1 species
UACGAAGGGGGGCUAGCGUUGCUCGGAAUCACUGGGCGUAAAGCGCACGUAGGCGGCUUUUUAAGUCAGGGGUGAAAUCCUGGAGCUCAACUCCAGAACUGCCUUUGAUACUGAGAGCUUGAGUCCGGGAGAGGUGAGUGGAACUGCGAGUGUAGAGGUGAAAUUCGUAGAUAUUCGCAAGAACACCAGUGGCGAAGGCGGCUCACUGGCCCGGUACUGACGCUGAGGUGCGAAAGCGUGGGGAGCAACAGG